UACUUCCCUUUUCAAAUGCAUUUUAUAGGGAGUUAACUGAUCUUAUAUCUCCCUCUUGGUUGAAGUUAUUUAAUGUAAGUGAAUUCAAUCAGUUACUUUCUGGUGGAGACCAUGAUAUUGAUGUUGAUGACUUAAGAAAUAACACACGGUAUACUGGUGGUUAUUCCGAGGGAAGUCGAAUGGUUAAACUUUUCUGGGAGGUUAUGAAUGAUUUUGAGCCAAUAGAGCGAUGUAUGCUGCUAAAAUUUGUGACCAGCUGUUCCCGAGCUCCUUUACUGGGGUUCAAAUGCUUGCAACCAUCUUUCACAAUUCAUAAGGUUGCAGGUGAUGCUCCUUUUUCUGGCUGCGAUUGGAGGUUAAGAU